UACGAAGGGGGCUAGCGUUGCUCGGAAUCACUGGGCGUAAAGCGCACGUAGGCGGAUCUUUAAGUCAGGGGUGAAAUCCUGGAGCUCAACUCCAGAACUGCCUUUGAUACUGGGGAUCUCGAGUCCGGAAGAGGUGAGUGGAACUCCGAGUGUAGAGGUGAAAUUCGUAGAUAUCCGGAAGAACACCAGUGGCGAAGGCGGCUCACUGGUCCGGUACUGACGCUGAGGUGCGAAAGCGUGGGGAGCAAACAGG
rnacentral:rRNA from 1 species